rnacentral:rRNA from 1 species
UACGAAGGGGGCUAGCGUUGCUCGGAAUCACUGGGCGUAAAGGGUGCGUAGGCGGGUUAUUAAGUCAGAGGUGAAAUCCUGGAGCUCAACUCCAGAACUGCCUUUGAUACUGAGGAUCUUGAGUUCGGGAGAGGUGAGUGGAACUGCGAGUGUAGAGGUGAAAUUCGUAGAUAUUCGCAAGAACACCAGUGGCGAAGGCGGACUCACUGACCCGAUACUGACGCUGAGGCACGAAAGCGUGGGGAGCAAACAGG